GGGCGAGCGGGGGGCGUUUGGCCCUUGGUUGUACGACAACAUGGGCUCGAUUGAGCGAAGAAGGCGCCGCGGUGCCGAAACCGCGCCCGCCUUCC
rnacentral:tRNA from 1 species